rnacentral:rRNA from 1 species
CCUACGGGCGGCAGCAGUGGGGAAUAUUGGGCAAUGGAGGCAACUCUGAACCAGCAACGCCGCGUGAAUGAUGAAGGUCUUCGGAUUGUAAAGUUCUUUUUUAAGGGAAGAAGAAAGUGACGGUAGCUUAGGAAUAAGGCUCGGCAAACUACGUGCCAGCAGCAGCGGGAAUACGUAGGAGGCAAGCGUUCUCCGGAAUGACUGGGCGUAAAGGGUGCGUAGGUGGUUUGACAAGUGAGUGGCGCAACUUCGGGGCUCAACUACGGAACUACUACUAACACGGGUGGACUUGAGUGCAGGAGGGGCAAUCGGAAUGCCUGGUGUAGCGGUGGAAUGCGUAGAUAUUAGGAGGAACACCGGUGGCGAAGGCAGAUUGCUAGACCGUAACUGACACUGAGGCACGAAAGCGUGGGGAGCGAACAGGAUUAGAUACCCCAGUAGUC